rnacentral:tRNA from 1 species
GGGAAUGUAGCUUAUUGGUAAAGUGCUUGCCUAGCAUGCAUGAAGUCCUGGGUUCGAUUCCUCAGUACCA